rnacentral:lncRNA from 1 species
AUCGUCUUUGUUGUACCCGGGCAGAGCUUCCUUCAGCAAAGGCAGCAACAUUGGACGGCCCAAGGCCAGAGAUUCCUUGAGCUGUGUGAUGCUGUGGACUUGGGGAAGUCUUGUGUUAAGUAACACCAGCUCCCCCGGAGACUGGUGGCCCUUGCCCAUGCCAAGUGGGACAAGGAGAAGGUCUCCAUGGGGGUCAGCACUAAGCGACUGAAGCGACUUAGCAGCCGCAGCAGGAAGCUUGAACACAAUGUGAUGACUGAUUCAGAAAUGAAGGAACGGCUCUUUUCAAGCGGACAAGACAUCACUGGGCAUAAGGACGAAGAGCUGCAGUCCAGAGGGAGAGAAGACAAGCAAUAGAUCAUUAUU